AUGACAACAGUAGAAAGUGAAGCCCUCUGUUUACCUGCAGAAAUGGUACAGAAGAGCAUUGGCAAUGCAAGUUUCUUCCCAUAACUCUGUCUGUGUUCUGCAGCUGUAAUCUUGAGGAAGAAGAAGAUGACUCGGUCUCCUUACUCUUUCUAUCCUUAGCCUCU
rnacentral:sRNA from 1 species